rnacentral:rRNA from 1 species
GAUGAACGCUGGCGGCGUGCUUAACACAUGCAAGUCGAACGAUGAAGCCCAGCCUGCUGGGCGGAUUAGUGGCGAACGGGUGAGUAACACGUGAGUAACCUGCCCUUGACUCUGGGAUAAGCCCGGGAAACUGGGUCUAAUACCGGAUAGGAGCGCCUGUCGCAUGACGGGUGCUGGAAAGAUUUUUCGGUCAUGGAUGGACUCGCGGCCUAUCAGCUUGUUGGUGAGGUAACGGCUCACCAAGGCGACGACGGGUAGCCGGCCUGAGAGGGUGACCGGCCACACUGGGACUGAGACACGGCCCAGACUCCUACGGGAGGCAGCAGUGGGGAAUAUUGCACAAUGGGCGGAAGCCUGAUGCAGCGACGCCGCGUGAGGGAUGACGGCCUUCGGGUUGUAAACCUCUUUCAGUAGGGAAGAAGCGAAAGUGACGUACCUGCAGAAGAGCC